rnacentral:rRNA from 1 species
CCUACGGGUGGCAGCAGUCGAGAAUCAUUCACAAUGGGGGAAACCCUGAUGGUGCGACGCCGCGUGGGGGAAUGAAGGUCUUCGGAUUGUAAACCCCUGUCAUGUGGGAGCAAAUUAAAAAGAUAGUACCACAAGAGGAAGAGACGGCUAACUCUGUGCCAGCAGCCGCGGUAAUACAGAGGUCUCAAGCGUCGUUCGGAAUCACUGGGCGUAAGGCGUGCGUAGGCUGUUUCGUAAGUCGUGUGUGAAAGGCGCGGGCUCAACCCGCGGACGGCACAUGAUACUGCGAGACUAGAGUAAUGGAGGGGGAACCGGAAUUCUCGGUGUAGCAGUGAAAUGCGUAGAUAUCGAGAGGAACACUCGUGGCGAAGGCGGGUUCCUGGACAUUAACUGACGCUGAGGCACGAAGGCCAGGGGAGCGAAAGGGAUUAGAUACCCCUGUAGUC